AUACGGAGGAUGCAAGCGUUAUCCGGAUUCACUGGGUUUAAAGGGUGAGUAGGCGGACUUGUAAGUCAGUGGUGAAAGACUGUAGCUUAACUAUAGAAAUGCCAUUGAUACUGCAGGCCUUGAGUACAGUUGAGGCAGGCAGAAUGUGCAGUGUAGCGGUGAAAUGCUUAGAUAUUGCACAGAACACCGAUUGCGAAGGCAGCUUGCUAAGCUGUUACUGACGCUGAGUCACGAAAGCGUGGGGAUCAAACAGGAUUAGAUACCCUGGUAGUCCACGCCGUAAACUAUGAUCACUCGUUGUUGGCGAUACACAGCCAGCGGCUGAGCAAAAGCAUUAAGUGAUCCACCUGGGGAGUACGUUCGCAAGAAUGAA
rnacentral:rRNA from 1 species